UGACGCAGCGACGCCGCGUGGAGGAUGAAGGUCUUCGGAUUGUAAACUCCUGUCAGAUGGGAAGAAAAGAUUAUUUUUAAUAGAGAUAGGUUAUGACGGUACCAUCAGAGGAAGCACCGGCUAACUUCGUGCCAGCAGCCGCGGUAAUACGAAGGGUGCGAGCGUUAUUCGGAAUCACUGGGCGUAAAGGGUGCGUAGACGGUGUGUUAAGUUUGUCGUUAAAGACUCUGGCCUAACCGGAGGGUUGCGAUGAAAACUAGCGCGCUAGAGGGUGAGAGAGAGAAGUGGAAUUCCCGGAGUAGCGGUAAAAUGCGUGGAUCUCGGGAGGAACACCAAUGGCGAAGGCAGCUUCUUGGCUCAUUUCUGACGUUGAGGCACGAAAGCGUGGGGAGCGAACAGGAUUAGAUACCCUGGUAGUCCACGCCGUAAACGAUAACCACUAGAUGUUAGUCUGGUUUAGCCGGAUUAGUGUCGUAGCUAACGCGUUAAGUGGUUCGCCUGGGAAGUACGGUCGCAAGGCUA
rnacentral:rRNA from 1 species